rnacentral:lncRNA from 1 species
UGAUUUCGCCGUCUGAGUGCGGCGUUGUGUUGUUCGUCGUCUUGUGCGAUGUUUUUGUUGUCCCGUAUUGUGCGGUGUUCAUUUGAUUUCUAUUGAAAAGAUCGGCUUCAGUCAAUUACAGAUUCAACCAAUGAUUUGGGCUUCAACGCUGCAGAUCCGGAGGCAUGGAUACUUCGGUGACUUUAACUUUAUCAUAUUAUUUGUUGUAGGCAUUUUGCCGUUGUAUGCUAUUGACUCGGAUGUUGUGAGUUUUGUUCGCAGAUUCAUCCUUUACGUUUUU